GAUGAAGAACGUAGCGAAAUGCGAUAAGUAAUGUGAAUUGCAGAAUUCAGUGAAUCAUCGAAUCUUUGAACGCACAUUGCGCCCGCCAGUAUUCUGGCGGGCAUGCCUGUCCGAGCGUCAUUUCAACCCUCGAACCCCUCCGGGGGGUCGGCGUUGGGGACCUCGGGAGCCCCUAAGACGGGAUCCCGGCCCCGAAAUACAGUGGCGGUCUCGCCGCAGCCUCUCCUGCGCAGUAGUUUGCACAACUCGCACCGGGAGCGCGGCGCGUCCACGUCCGUAAAACACCCAACUUCUGAAAUGUUGACCUCGGAUCAGGUAGGGUUACCCGCUGAACUUAAGCAUAUCAAUAAGCGGAGGA
rnacentral:misc_RNA from 1 species